AGCGGUUGUCUUCUCGUUUUGUUGGUCCAGGCAGUAUUGCCUCGCAGAAAUCCGCAUUCACUGGUAAAUAGCGUGCAAGGUAGGUGUCCUCUAUUUCUCUGAUAUGUGAUGUGUUGCUCUUGUCUCGUUGCAUC